UAAGGAAUAUUGCUCAAUGGCCGAAAGGCUGAAGCAGCAACGCCGUGUGAAGGAUGAAGGGCUUUUGCUCGUAAACUUCUGUAAGCAGGGAAAAAUAGCUCCAUUGGGAGUUUGAUGGUACCUGCAGAGUAAGCCCCGGCUAACUACGUGCCAGCAGCCGCGGUAAUACGUAGGGGGCAAGCGUUGUCCGGAUUUACUGGGUGUAAAGGGUGCUCAGGCGGAUAGGUAAGUCAGAGGUGAAACUCCGAAGCUCAACUUCGGAACUGCCUUUGAUACUGCUUAUCUUGAGUUUGGGAGAGGGUGAUGGAAUAUCUGGUGUAGCAGUGAAAUGCGUAGAUAUCAGAUAGAACACCAAUGGCGAAGGCAGUCACCUGGUCCAAUACUGACGCUAAAGCACGAAAGCGUGGGGAGCAAACAGG
rnacentral:rRNA from 1 species